UAGCGGAGCCCAACCUCCCACCCGUGUUUACUGUAACCUUAGUUGCUUCGGCGGGCCCGCCUUUAAGGCCGCCGGGGGGCAUCAGCCCCCGGGCCCGCGCCCGCCGGAGACACCACGAACUCUGUCUGAUCUAGUGAAGUCUGAGUUGAUUGUAUCGCAAUCAGUUAAAACUUUCAACAAUGGAUCUCUUGGUUCCGGCAUCGAUGAAGAACGCAGCGAAAUGCGAUAACUAGUGUGAAUUGCAGAAUUCCGUGAAUCAUCGAGUCUUUGAACGCACAUUGCGCCCCCUGGUAUUCCGGGGGGCAUGCCUGUCCGAGCGUCAUUGCUGCCCAUCAAGCACGGCUUGUGUGUUGGGUCGUCGUCCCCUCUUCGGGGGGGACGGGCCCCAAAGGCAGCGGCGGCACCGCGUCCGAUCCUCGAGCGUAUGGGGCUUUGUCACCCGCUCUGUAGGCCCGGCCGGCGCUUGCCGAACGCAAAACAACCAUUCUUUCCAGGUUGACCUCGGAUCAGGUAGGGAUACCCGCUGAACUUAAGCAUAUCAAUAAGCGGAGGAA
rnacentral:rRNA from 1 species